rnacentral:sRNA from 12 species
AUGCACCUGCAGGGGGCGCAGCAUGACCACGAACAGGGUUUUGCAGGUAACCGGUUCAUGUAUCGCCCGGUAUAGCAAAAUUGCUAUUUUAAAGCACUUCU